rnacentral:rRNA from 1 species
AGCUUGCUCCCAUUUCUCAGCGGCGGACGGGUGAGUAACACGUGGGCAACCUGCCCUACAGACUGGGAUAACUCCGGGAAACCGGAGCUAAUACCGGGUAAUACGUAGCAUCGCAUGAUGCAACGUUGAAAGUUGGCCUUUGGCUAACACUGUAGGAUGGGCCCGCGGCGCAUUAGCUAGUUGGUAAGGUAACGGCUUACCAAGGCCACGAUGCGUAGCCGACCUGAGAGGGUGAUCGGCCACACUGGGACUGAGACACGGCCCAGACUCCUACGGGAGGCAGCAGUAGGGAAUCUUCCGCAAUGGACGAAAGUCUGACGGAGCAACGCCGCGUGAGUGACGAAGGCCUUCGGGUCGUAAAGCUCUGUUGUUAGGGAAGAACAAGUACCGUUCGAAUAGGGCGGUACCUUGACGGUACCUAACCAGAAAGCCACGGCUAACUACGUGCCAGCAGCCGCGGUAAUACGUAGGUGGCAAGCGUUGUCCGGAAUUAUUGGGCGUAAAGCGCGCGCAGGCGGUCUCUUAAGUCUGAUGUGAAAGCCCACGGCUCAACCGUGGAGGGCCAUUGGAAACUGGGGGACUUGAGUGCAGAAGAGGAGAGUGGAAUUCCACGUGUAGCGGUGAAAUGCGUAGAUAUGUGGAGGAACACCAGUGGCGAAGGCGGCUCUCUGGUCUGUAACUGACGCUGAGGCGCGAAAGCGUGGGGAGCGAACAGGAUUAGAUACCCUGGUAGUCCACGCCGUAAACGAUGAGUGCUA